GGGCACAUGGUGUAGUUGGUUAUCACAUCCGCUUAGCAUUGUGUGCUGUUUGCGGGGGGUGCUGGGUUCAAUUCCCAGUGUGUCCA
rnacentral:tRNA from 1 species